UGAUUUCUUGGCAUGACUCCUGUGCUUGGGAAUUCUCCAUUAAACACAAGAGAAAAAGGACACAUUUGAAAGUUGCAGACAGCUGGUUUGUGAUUUUUUGCUUUAGACACAUCUUGCUAAUGGGUGCAAGAUAAUAAAUCACACAUGCUCAGAGGUCAAAGCUAUGGCGGCUUGAUGCUGACAUGCUGAGUAUAAUUUCCAGGUAAGGAG